GUUCAACCCCCUCCCUUACUA
rnacentral:tRNA from 1 species